UGACAGGCGGAGAAGAGGGAAGAGGGAAACUGCCUUUGCUGGUGGCAGCUGGGCAGAGCAGAGCCGAUAAAAAGUCAAUUCCACUUAGCGGAAUCGCUGCUAACUAAAUAUUUGGGGGGCCAGAGCCUUCCUGGGUGGCUGCCGGAGGAUCUCUGCUUCCAAACUGAGACAUCAAACAGGCCCAGGGAGAGGACAGGACUCAGGGAGCCCUGCAGAAGAGGAGGUGGAGAAAGCCAGAGUGAUGGAGGACACCUAGGAAACAAGGUCUUCUAGGCCCAAGAGCCUUUAUGAGCAUGAAUGCAGCCGGGGCUGGACUGUUCCAUCGGCUUGGGUUGCAGUAUGAAGAGAAGAGAGAAAGGAGGGGCAAGCAGCCUGUCACUGGAAAUUGUUUCUCUGUGGGCGGCCACUGAGACGUGAAGAGCUGUUUGUUAUCGUGCACAGGAAAAGCCGACUGCUACACCCUCCGAAUAUCAACAUAUUUAAUGUGAAAUGCCAGGGAUAAUGUAGGGAUAACACCUUUAAGUAAUCAAUAGAUGCUAUUAAAGUCUACUGAAGGAAUCUGCCAAACCAUUUCAGUCUACCUUCUCCGAAUGUUUUUUUUCUACGUCUAUCUGAUCCUACCUCCAAGGCCAAGAGACCAUAAGCAUCUCUCUGGCUCAGUACUCCCAACAUCCUUUCAGUCCUUACACAGACAUUCAUAACGAUAGGCUCACUUGAAGUUCCUUUAUGUUCUGGACACAGAAAGAAGGGGAGAGCAGAAAACGAGGUCUUCCUUUAUAGAUGGAAAUAAAGCAGACAGAACUUGCCAAAGUCAGGAUCGAGUCCCUGCUUUUACUUGCU